ACCCGCACAAGCGGUGGAUGAUGUGGUUAAUUCGAUGCAACGCGAAAACCUUACCCACCUUUGACAUGUACGGAACCUUUAGAGAUAGAGGGGUGCUCGAAAGAGAGCCGUAACACAGGUGCUGCAUGGCUGUCGUCAGCUCGUGUCGUGAGAUGUUGGGUUAAGUCCCGCAACGAGCGCAACCCUUGUCAUUAGUUGCUACAUUCAGUUGGGCACUCUAAUGAGACUGCCGGUGACAAGCCGGAGGAAGGUGGGGAUGACGUCAAGUCCUCAUGGCCCUUAUAGGUGGGGCUACACACGUCAUACAAUGGCUGGUACAAAGGGUUGCCAACCCGCGAGGGGGAGCCAAUCCCAUAAAGCCAGUCGUAGUCCGGAUCGUAGUCUGCAACUCGACUACGUGAAGUCGGAAUCGCUAGUAAUCGUGGAUCAGAAUGUCACGGUGAAUACGUUCCCGGGUCUU
rnacentral:rRNA from 1 species